rnacentral:rRNA from 1 species
GGUCUUCGGAUUGUAAACUCCUGUCAUCUAGGAGCAAGGCAUGGUGGUGAAUAGCCAACAUGAUUGAUAGUACUAGAAGAGGAAGGGACGGCUAACUUCGUGCCAGCAGCCGCGGUAAUACGAAGGUCCCGAGCGUUAUUCGGAAUCACUGGGCGUAAAGGGAGCGUAGGCGGCGUGGAAAGUCAGAUGUGAAAUCCCAGAGCUCAACUCUGGAACUGCAUCCGAUACUACCAUGCUAGAGUAUUGGAGGGGUAACUUGGAAUUCUCGGUGUAGCAGUGAAAUGCGUAGAUAUCGAGAGGAAUACCAAAGGCGAAGGCAGGUUUCUUGNCAGUUACUGACACUGAGGCACGAAGGCCA